ensembl:lncRNA
UCCGCUGCAUGCUAGCAGCUCCGUCUCCACUGCAUGCUAGCAGUUCCGUCCGUCUCCACUGCAUACUAGCUGCUCUGUCUCCGCUGCAUGCUAGCAGCUCCGUCCGUCUCCACUGCAUGCUAGCAGCUCCGUCCGUCUCCACUGCAUGCUAGCAGCUCUGUCCGUCUCCACUGCAUGCUAGCUGCUCCGUCCGUCUCCACUGCAUGCUAGCAGCUCCGUCCGUCUCCACUGCAUGCUAGCAGCUCCGUCCGUCUCCACUGCAUGCUAGCAGCUCCGUCUGUCUCCACUGCAUACUAGCAGCUCCGUCUCCACUGCAUGCUAGCUGCUCUGUCUCCACUGCAUGCUAGCUGCUCCAUCCGUCUCCACUGCAUGCUAGCAGCUCCGUCUGUCUCCACUGCAUACUAGCAGCUCCGUCUCCACUGCAUGCUAGCUGCUCUGUCUCCACUGCAUGCUAGCUGCUCCGUCCGUCUCCACUGCAUGCUAGCAGGUCCGUCCGUCUCCACUGCAUGCUAGCAGCUCUGUCUCCACUGCAUGCUAGCAGUUCCGUCCGUCUCCACUGCAUACUAGCUGCUCUGUCUCCGCUGCAUGCUAGCAGCUCUGUCCGUCUCCACUGCAUGCUAGCUGUUCCGUCCGUCUCCACUGCAUGCUAGCAGCUCUGUCCGUCUCCACUGCAUGCUAGCAGCUCUGUCCGUCUCCACUGCAUGCUAGCAGCUCCGUCCGUCUCCACUGCAUGCUAGCAGCUCCGUCCGUCUCCACUGCAUGCUAGCAGCUCCAUCCUACGCUGCCGCCAGACUGCCGGCUCCAUCCUGUUUUCCUGACAGGUCAAGGAAGGACAUAGAUUCAGUUUGUCUUGAAACAAAACUGUCCAGGUUUGUGGAGAACCUCGAUGUAGACACUAAUGAGGUGGAGGAGAUCAGAGACUUAAUGAAGAAGGUGUUGAUUUAUGAAAAUGAAUUAGAUAGAUGGAUAGAUGGAUAGAUACUUUAUUAAUCAUUUGACACAAACUAUGUUCAAACUCCAUCCUCUAGCACUUAUUUUGUUCACCAGUUAAGCUGGAUGUUUAAAACAACCUCUCAGUGAAAUGUCAGCUCAGAUUUCAGUGAUUUAUUAACAUCAUGUUAAACAUGUCUGUGGAGCAGUAAGGAACAGACACAAUUAUGUGUGUGCGACCGCUGGAAGCGUCAUUUUAUUCUACCACUAACAUGACAGUAACUUCAGUGGUGAUGAACUUACUGGUCCUGGAACCUGAGUGCCACCUACUGUUACGAAAACGCACAGUUGUAUGGAAAACCUCAGCGCUUCCAGAGGCGUCACCUGCCAUCACUAAAAGGAAAUGACGUCAGAAAAUUAUCACCUGUCAGAGUCGUGGCAGCCAUCUUGUCCUGCAGCUUAAACAGGAAUCAGGCCUCAGCAGCUGCUCUCUUAUUGGUCCAUGAGCAGGCGGGCUCUCAAACCUGAUUGGACAACAGAUGUGUGAUGAAAUUCAACGGAAUCAAGGGUGGAUCCAAGUUAGAAAAACUCUUGUCUGACUGGUUUCAGAGACGAGGAAACGGUUGCAGCCAUGACACGGCUAGGUCGACUACAU